CCUACGGGGGGCUGCAGUGGGGAAUAUUGCACAAUGGGGGAAACCCUGAUGCAGCAACGCCGCGUGAGUGAGGAAGUAUUUCGGUAUGUAAAGCUCUUUUUGCAGGGGAUAGAAAAGAAGGUACCUGACCACGAAGCCCCGGCUAACUACGUGCCAGCAGCCGCGGUAAUACGGAGGGGGCAAGCGUUAUCCGGAUUUACUGGGUGUAAAGGGAGCGUAGACGGUAAGGCAAGUCAGAAGUGAAAGCCCAAGGCUCAACCAUGGGACUGAAUUUGAAACUGGCCAACUAGAGUACGGGAGAGGGAAGAGGAAUUCCUGGUGUAGCGGUGAAAUGCGUAGAUAUCAGGAGGAACACCAGUGGCGAAGGCGUCUUACUGGACCGAAACUGACGUUGAGGCUCGAAAGCGUGGGGAGCAAACAGGAUUAGAUACCCCAGUAGUC
rnacentral:rRNA from 1 species